ACGAACGCUGGCGGUGUGCUUAACCCAUGCAAGUCGAACGGUAAGGCCCUUUCGGGGGUACACGAGUGGCGAACGGGUGGGUAACACGUGAGUAACCUGCCCUCAUCUCUGGGAUAACAGUCGGAAACGGUUGCUAAUACUGGAUAUGAGCUUGCAAGGCAUCUUGUGGGUUGGAAAGAUUUUUUUUGGUUGGGGAUGGACUCGCGGCCUAUCAGCUUGUUGGUGAGGUAGUGGCUCACCAAGGCUUCGACGGGUAGCCGGCCUGAGAGGGCGACCGGCCACAUUGGGACUGAGAUACGGCCCAAACUCCUACGGGAGGCAGCAGUGGGGAAUAUUGCACAAUGGACGGAAGUCUGAUGCAGCAACGCCGCGUGCGGGAUGACGGCCUUCGGGUUGUAAACCGCUUUCAAUUGUGACGAAGCUUUUUUGUGACGGUAGCAGUAGAAGAAGCACCGGCUAACUACGUG
rnacentral:rRNA from 1 species